AUUGAACGCUGGCGGCAGGCCUAACACAUGCAAGUCGAACGAGUGGCGGACGGGUGAGUAAUGUCUGGGAAACUGCCCGAUGGAGGGGGAUAACUACUGGAAACGGUAGCUAAUACCGCAUACCAUCGGAUGUGCCCAGAUGGGAGUAGCUUGGAGGUGAGGUAACGGCUCACCUAGGCGACGAUCCCUAGCGGGUCUGAGAGGAUGACCAGUGACACUGGAACGGAUACACGGUCCAGACUCCUACGGGAGGGAUGAGGGGGGAAUAGUGCACAAUGGGCGCAAGUCUGAUGCAGCCAUGCCGCGUGUAUGGAGAAGGCUGUCAGGUUGUAAAGUACUUUCAGAGGGGAGGCGUUACCCGAAGAAGAAGCACCGGCUAACUCCGUGCCAGCAGCCGCGGUAAUAC
rnacentral:rRNA from 1 species